AUUGAACGCUGGCGGCAUGCCUUACACAUGCAAGUCGAACGGCAGCACGGGUGCUUGCACCUGGUGGCGAGUGGCGAACGGGUGAGUAAUACAUCGGAACGUACCUUAUCGUGGGGGAUAACGCAGCGAAAGUUGCGCUAAUACCGCAUACGCCCUGAGGGGGAAAGCGGGGGACCGUAAGGCCUCGCGCGAUUAGAGCGGCUGAUGUCUGAUUAGCUUGUUGGUGAGGUAAAAGCUCACCAAGGCGAUGAUCAGUAGCUGGUCUGAGAGGACGAUCAGCCACACUGGGACUGAGACACGGCCCAGACUCCUACGGGAGGCAGCAGUGGGGAAUUUUGGACAAUGGGGGCAACCCUGAUCCAGCAAUGCCGCGUGAGUGAAGAAGGCCUUCGGGUUGUAAAGCUCUUUUGUCAGGGAAGAAACAGCAGCUCUAACACAGUCUGCGAAUGACGGUACCUGCAGAAAAAGCACCGGCUAACUACGUGCCAGCAGCCGCGGUAA
rnacentral:rRNA from 1 species